rnacentral:rRNA from 1 species
AACCUCCGCAAUGUGAGAAAUCGCGACGGGGGGAUCCCAAGUGCCAUUCUUAACGGGAUGGCUUUUCAUUAGUGUAAAGAGCUUUUGGAAUAAGAGCUGGGCAAGACCGGUGCCAGCCGCCGCGGUAACACCGGCAGCUCUAGUGGUAACAAUUUUUAUUGGGCCUAAAGCGUCCGUAGCCGGUUUAAUAAGUCUCUGGUGAAAUCCUGUAGCUUAACUGUGGGAAUUGCUGGAGAUACUAUUAGACUUGAGACCGGGAGAGGUUAGAGGUACUCCCAGGGUAGAGGUGAAAUUCUGUAAUCCUGGGAGGACCGCCUGUUGCGAAGGCGUCUAACUGGAACGGUUCUGACGGUGAGGGACGAAAGUUAGGGGCGCGAACCGGAUUAGAUACCCGGGUAGUCCUAACUGUAAACGAUGCGGACUUGGUGUUGGGGUGGCUUUGAGCUGCUCCAGUGCCGAAGGGAAGCUGUUAAGUCCGCCGCCUGGGAAGUACGGUCGCAAGACUGAAACUUAAAGGAAUG